rnacentral:rRNA from 1 species
AGUUCGAUUAUAGCUCGGAUUGAACGCUGGCAGGAUGUACUUUACAUGCAAGUCGAACGGCAGCACGGACUUUGAUCUGGUGGCAGUCGCGGGCAGUGAGUAAUGUAUCGGAACGUGCCUAGUAGCGGGGGAUAACUACGCGAAAGCGUAGCUAAUACCGCAUACGCCCUUCGGGAAAGCGGGGGACCUUCGGGCCUCGCACUAUUGAAACGGCCGAUAUCGGAUUAGCUAGUUGGUGGGGUAACGGCUCACCAAGGCGACGAUCCGUAGCUGGUUUGAGAGGACGACCAGCCACACUGGGACUGAGACACGGCCCAGACUCCUACGGGAGGCGGCAGUGGGGAAUUUUGGACAAUGGAAACCUGAUCCAGCCAUCUGCCGUAUUGCGAUGAAGGCCUUCGGGUUGUAAAGCACUUUUGGCAGGAAAAACGGCACGGGAUAUUACCCCGUGCAACUGACGACACCUGCAGAAUAAGCACCGGCUAACUACGUGCCAGCAGCCGCGGUAAUACGUAGGGUGCAAGCGUUAAUCGGAAUUACUGGGCGUAAAGCGUGCACCGAGCGGUUCGGAAAGAAAGAUGUGAAAUCCCAGAGCUUAACUUUGGAACUGCAUUUUUAACUACCGAGCCGUGUGUCAGAGGGAGGUGGAAUUCCGCGUGUAGCAGUGAAAUGCGUAGAUAUGCGGAGAAGACACCGAUGGCGAAAACAGCCUCCUGGGAUAACACUGACGGCGCUCAUGCGGCGGUAGAACCGAGCAGGUUAGAUACCCUGGUGGUCCACGCCCUAAACGAUGUCAACUAGCUGUUGGGGCCUUCGGAGCAUGGUGGCGCAGCUAACGCGUGAAGUUGACCGCCGCAAGUACGGUCGCAAGAUUAAAACUCAAAGAAAUUGGCCUGGGGACCCGCACAAGCGGUGGAUGAUGUGAUUAAUUCGAUGCAACGCGAAAAACCUUACCUACCACUUAAAACCUCUGGAAUCCGAAAGAGAUUUGAGGUACUCGCAAGAGAACCGGAACACAGGUGCUGCAUAGCUGUCGUCCAGCUCGUGUCGUGAGAUGUUGGGUUAAGUCCCGCAACGAGCUGGCCAUCAGUAGAUUUGCUACGAGAAAGGGCACUCUAAUGAGACUGCCGGUGACAAACCGGAGGAAGGUGGGGAUGACGUCGGUCCUCAUGGCCCUUAUGGGUAGGGCUUCACACGUCAUACAAUGGUCAGGACAGAGGGUCGCCAACCCGCGAGGAGCCAAUCCAAGAAACCCGAUCGUAGUCCGGAUCGCAGUCUGCAACUCGACUGCGUGAAGUCAAGAUCGCUAGUAAUCGCGGAUCAGCAUGUCGCGGUGAAUACGUUCCCGGGUCUUGUACACACCGCCCGUCACACCAUGGGAGUGGGUUUUACCAGAAGUAGUUAGCCCAACCGUAAGGAGGGCGAUUACCACAGUAGGAUUCAUGACUGGGGUGAAGUCGUAACAAAGGUAA